AUUGAACGCUGGCGGCAGGCCUAACACAUGCAAGUCGAGCGGAUGAAGGGAGCUUGCUCCUGGAUUCAGCGGCGGACGGGUGAGUAAUGCCUAGGAAUCUGCCUGGUAGUGGGGGAUAACGUCCGGAAACGGGCGCUAAUACCGCAUACGUCCUGAGGGAGAAAGUGGGGGAUCUUCGGACCUCACGCUAUCAGAUGAGCCUAGGUCGGAUUAGCUAGUUGGUGGGGUAAAGGCCUACCAAGGCGACGAUCCGUAACUGGUCUGAGAGGAUGAUCAGUCGCACUGGAACUGAGACACGGUCCAGACUCCUACGGGAGGCAGCAGUGGGGAAUAUUGGACAAUGGGCGAAAGCCUGAUCCAGCCAUGCCGCGUGUGUGAAGAAGGUCUUCGGAUUGUAAAGCACUUUAAGUUGGGAGGAAGGGCAGUAAGUUAAUACCUUGCUGUUUUGACGUUACCAACAGAAUAAGCACCGGCUAACCUCGUG
rnacentral:rRNA from 1 species